rnacentral:rRNA from 1 species
CCUACGGGUGGCAGCAGUGGGGAAUAUUGCGCAAUGGGCGAAAGCCUGACGCAGCGACGCCGCGUGAGGGAUGAAGGUCUUCGGAUCGUAAACCUCUGUCAGCAGGGAAGAACGGUCACUGUGCUAAUCUGCAGUGCAUUGACGAUACCUGCACAGGCAGCACCGGCUAACCCCGUGCCAGAAGCCGCGGUAAUACGGAGGGUGCGAGCGUUAAUCGGAAUUAGUGGGCGUAAAGCGCUCGUAGGCGGUAUGUCAAGUCAAGGGUGAAAUCCCCGCGCUCAACGUGGGAACUGCCUUUGAAACUGGCAAACUGGAGUGUGUGAGAGGAUAGUGGAAGUCCAGGUGUAGGAGUGAAAGCCGUAGAUAUCUGGAGGAACAUCAGUGGCGAAGGCGACUAUCUGGCACAUAACUGACGCUGAGGAGCGAAAGCGUGGGUAGCAAACAGGAUUAGAUACCCGUGUAGUC